GCGCUGGUAGUUUAGUGGUAUAAUAGACGCCUUCCAAGCAUCAGCCCCGGGUUCAAUUCCCGGUCAGCGCA